UGAUUUAUUAUUUGGCAUGAUAUGAAUAUGAUUCUGUGAUAAAUAUGCUGAUGAUGUAUGAUGGUAUGCAUAAUGCUGUGAAUGUAUCUGUUAUGUAUGCAAUUGUGAAUGGACUGUUUAUGGCUUAGAGGGUGAGCAUAUGUCCAUUGUGGAUUGUUGUUGAUGUUGCAUGCUAGGUGAUUUAGCGUGCAUAGUAUGGCCUUUAUGGUGGUAGCUAAUUCCCAUGGUGAGGAAUUAGUGAGUGAGUUAUUGUGGAUUGUUG
rnacentral:lncRNA from 1 species